UACAGGGGGUGCAAACGUUGCUCGGAAUUAUUGGGCGUAAAGCGCGCGUAGGCGGUCUUGUAAGUCGGAUGUGAAGGCCCUUGGCUUAACCGAGGAAGUGCAUCCGAAACUGCAAGGCUUGAGUACGAAAGAGGAUCGCGGAAUUCCCGGUGUAGAGGUGAAAUUCGUAGAUAUCGGGAGGAACACCGGCGGCGAAGGCGGCGAUCUGGGUCGAGACUGACGCUGAGGCGCGAAAGCGUGGGGAGCAAACAGG
rnacentral:rRNA from 1 species